GACGAACGCUGGCGGCGUGCUUAACACAUGCAAGUCGAACGGAAAGGCCUCUUUCGGGGGGUCUUCGAGUGGGGAACGGGUGAGUAACACGUGUGUAUCCUGCCCUUUUCUUUGGGAUAACUCCUCAAAACUGGGGCUAUAACCGCAUAGAGGCUCUCGCGCCACGGUGGGGGUUGGAAAGUUUUGGGGGGUGGGGGUGGGCUCGCGGCUUUUCAGCUUGUGGGUGGGGGGUUGGCUUACAAAGGGUUUGACGGGUAGCCGGCCUGGGAGGGGGACCGGCCACAUUGGGACUGAGAUACGGCCCAGAGUCCUACGGGAGGCAGCAGUGGGGAAUAUUGCACAAUGGGUGGGAGCCUGAUGCAGCAACGCCGUGGGCGGGAUGACGGCCUUCGGGUUGUAAACCGCUUUCGCUCAUGACGAAGCUUUGUGUGACGGUAGUGGGUAAAGAAGCACCGGCUAACUACGUG
rnacentral:rRNA from 1 species